CAAGAAAAAAUAAAAAUAAAAAAUCAAAUUCCAAAUAGUUUAAUUUGUUAAUCAAAAUGGUUUCUAAAAAUAAUAUUUUUGUUUACCUUUCUUUGGUUAUUCUACUAAUAAUAUCCUCACAAAUUGUUGCAAGGGAGAUGAAUUCUGAGGCCCCUGCUCCACUUACCCAAGCAAUGAUUGGAAACACCACUAGUGAAGCCAAGAGAGUGGCUUUUCUAGGGCGCCAUUUACGGAAGGGUCUUGGUAAAAUUUUCAAAGCUGGCAAAACUAUAUUUUGUAACCAAUGCACAACUUGCAAAGGCCUUUGUGGCUAUUGUUGUGUCUAAAGCUAAGAUGAGAAAUCCGCAAUCUCCUCUUUAACCACAUGCUUUCUGAAAAUACAUCUUUAAGUUUAUAUGAAAGCCUAUAUAUAAUUAAGACUUAUAUACUUGUAUUGGUGUGAAAAAUAAAGGGCAGUUAUGAAUAGAGUCCCUGUUCACUUUUCCUCUAGUAAAACUACUUGUGUGUUGUUUUGUUUUGUCACGUUUUUUAUAAAUUGUUGCAACUUGCAAUAAGUCAUGUGUAUGUACUUUUAAUUGGUUUAAUGAUCAAAUAGUGUUUAUGUACCAAGUUGGCUAUU